AGCUCUGUUUCCUGCCAUUGCUCGAGGAGAUCUUCAUGAGUUUCAUAGGAGUAGGAUUGUGCCUUCAAUCCAUCAUCUUUCUAGGGAAGGUCCAUCACUUCCACUCAGCCAUGUGUAAAGACCAGUGUGCUGCCUGGCAUGGAGUAGGGGCUUCCUGUUAUAGAGUUAUGAGUACAUUACAGCCCAGAGUCACAUCUUCCACAGCUGUUUCAGAAAGCAGGCAGAAACAUUCUUCAUGUGGCUGGCUGCCUUUGGAACUGAACAUCAACAAAAGGCAAGCAACAGAAAUGGAGUGUCAGUCAGCACUUCCGAAGACCUAGCUUUUCAGCCAGAGAGGAAACCAGGCCAAGAGGCUUCCAGUCCAGUGUUUAAUUCUCCCUGGCCCCUCUUUGCAUGGGCCUCCUGAGGGGUAGCUCCUCCAAACGCUGCCCUGAGGUUUGACUGAAAUCUGUCAUUUCUUUGGUUGGAAGGUUGGUGUUUCCUUGCAAGGGACCACAAAGCCAUAUUACAUUCAAUGUUAAAUAAACAAAUGUUUGAAUCUGUGUUUUAUUGGUUCCAUACCAUCUGCCAUCUGGUUUGGGGGAGCAAGGAAAAUUGUGGUUUUGUUGGUUGUGUGUGUGUGUGUGUGUGAGUGUGUGUGUGUCUGUUGUUGUUCGUUUUUUGUUGUUGUUGUUGUUGGGGGUGGGGGUU
rnacentral:lncRNA from 10 species